AUGUUUUAUAACAUGUCUUUGCUGGAUUGAUUCAUGAGAUCCAGGGGUAGGCAAGCACUUGUUCCGUUGAACUGAUAUCCAGAAAAUAAAACAAAACUGAAGCGUGCAAUUGCAUAUUCCAGAUCUAAUCUGCUAUAGAAACUAGAAAAGCCGACCUUGUUGCCCCUCCUCUUACUUCUCAGCUUAUGCUGGAUCUCUUAAGCAGAGGCGAUCUUCUUCAGAAAGAUAUGUACUGUAAAAAAUAGACCAUGACAACCAAAGCCCAUCCGAAGGUCCCGAGCUGUGUGUUAACAACUGUGGUUUCUUUGGAAGUUCUGCCACAAACAACAUGUGUUCAAAGUGUCACAAGGCUGUGUUGUUCCAACAGGAACAAGGGGCUAAGUUUGCAUCAUCAAUGUUUGGAACAUCAUCACCCAGUAACAUCAUAAAGGAAACCUUUACUGCUGCGUUGGUUGAUGCUGAAACCAAAUCCGUUGAGCCAAUGGUUGUGUCUGUACAGCCAUCCUAUGUGCAAGACGUUGCAGAGGUUGUAGCACUAGAAGCUGUAGCAAAACCAAAAGGAAGGACCAAGCUGAUGUACUACUUGCAAUAAACGGUUGGUUUGACUGGAUUCAACUGCGGGACACACCGCUAUGCAGACGUACACAACUGCUCCUUAAAUUACCAUGCUGCUGCGCAAGAAGCUGACCCGAUUGGUGAUUCACAUACUAAAGCAAACCCGUUUGUGAAGGCAGAGAGGCAUGACAAGAUCUGAAACUCGACAUUCGGUUUCCUUUUUCCUGUCUCUCUGGUUGAAGGUGUGUCCAUGUUAAAAAAGGUUUUUAUAAAUGGUUGAAGAGCCAAAAGUGUGUUGAUCUUUAGCUUCUUCCAUUCUCUUUUGGUAUGAAACUUUUUUAUUAUCUUUUGUUUGCAAGCAGAGAAAUGUGCUCUUAAAAAAUGUGGUAUGAUGUGUUUCCCUUAUUAUUUAUGAGGUUAAUGUUUGUUAGGCUUUCUCCUUUGUGUCUGUAUCAUAUUUGAUUUUCUGCAUCAUAUGUAAAAAUAAAUUUUUUAAAAUAA